AGUGAACGCUGGCGGCGUGCUUAACACAUGCAAGUCGAACGAGAACGGAUUAUAGCUUGCUAUAAUUGUCAGCUAAGUGGCGCACGGGUGAGUAAUGUAUAGGUAAUAUGCCUCUUACUAAGGGAUAACAAAUGGAAACGUUUGCUAAUACCUUAUACUCCUUAUUAACAUAAGUUAAUAAGGGAAAGAUUUAUUGGUAAGAGAUUAGCCUGUAUUGUAUCAGUUAGUUGGUGGGGUAAUGGCUUACCAAGACUAUGACACAUAACUGGUUUGAGAGGAUGAUCAGUCACAAUGGAACUGAGACACGGUCCAGACUCUUACGGGAGGCAGCAGUGGGGAAUAUUGCGCAAUGGACGAAAGUCUGAUGCAGCAACGCCGCGGGGAGGAUGACACAUUUCGGUGUGUAAACUCCUUUUAUAUGAGAAGAUAAUGACGGUAUUAUAUGAAUAAGCACCGGCUAACUCCGUGCCAGCCGCCGCUGAAA
rnacentral:rRNA from 1 species